ensembl:snoRNA
GUACAGAUGAUGAGCAUUGCGGUAUGAGGGGUAACAAUGAUACUGUAAACGCUUUCUGAUGUA